AUUGAACGCUGGCGGCAGGCCUAACACAUGCCAGUCGAGCGGAUGAAGGGAGCUUGCUCCUGGAUUCAGCGGCGGACGGGUGAGUAAUGCCUAGGAAUCUGCCUGGUAUUGGGGGAUAACGUCCGGAAACGGGCGCUAAUACCGCAUACGUCCUGAUGUAGAAAGGGGGGGAUCUUCGGACCUCACGCUAUCAGAUGAGCCUAGGUCGGAUUAGCUAGUUGGUGGGGUAAAGGCCUACCAAGGCGACGAUCCGUAACUGGUCUGAGAGGAUGAUCAGUCACACUGGAACUGAGACACGGUCCAGACUCCUACGGGAGGCAGCAGUGGGGAAUAUUGGACAAUGGGCGAAAGCCUGAUCCAGCAAUGCCGCGUGUGUGAAGAAGGUCUUCGGAUUGUAAAGCUCUUUUAGUUGGGAGGAAGGGCAGUAAGUUAAUACAUUGCUGUUUUGACGUUACCAACAGAAUAAGCACCGGCUAACUUCGUG
rnacentral:rRNA from 1 species